ACUACGGGAGGCAGCAGUGGGGGAUAUUGCACAAUGGGGGGAACCCUGAUGCAGCGACGCCGCGUGGGUGAAGAAGCGCCUCGGCGCGUAAAGCCCUGUCAGCAGGGAAGAAAAUGACGGUACCUGAAGAAGAAGCCCCGGCUAACUACGUGCCAGCAGCCGCGGUAAUACGUAGGGGGCAAGCGUUAACCGGAUUUACUGGGUGUAAAGGGGGCGCAGACGGCGAUGCAAGCCAGGAGUGAAAGCCAGGGGCCCAACCCCGGGACUGCUCUUGGAACUGCGUGGCUGGAGUGCAGGAGGGGCAGGCGGAAUUCCUGGUGUAGCGGUGAAAUGCGUAGAUAUCAGGAGGAACACCGGUGGCGAAGGCGGCCUGCUGGACUGCAACUGACGUUGAGGCCCGAAAGCGUGGGGAGCAAACAGGAUUAGAUACCCGUGUAGUC
rnacentral:rRNA from 1 species